AUUGAACGCUGGCGGCGUGCCUAACACAUGCAAGUCGAGCGGUAACAGGUGUAGCAAUACAUGCUGACGAGCGGCGGACGGGUGAGUAACGCUUGGGAAUCUGCCUAUUAGUGGGGGACGAACCCGGGAAACGUCGGGCGUAAUACCGCAUACGCACUACGGUGGAAAGGCCGGGGACCGGCAAGGCCUGGCGCUAACAGAUGAGCCCAAGUCGGAUUAGCUAGUUGGUAGGGGUAACGGGCCACCAAGGCGACGAUCCGUAACUGGUCUGAGAGGACGACCAGUCACACCGGAACUGAGACACGGUCCGGAC
rnacentral:rRNA from 1 species